UGCAUCAGCCGGGAAUCGAACCCUGGCCGCCCACGUGGCAGGCGAGCAUUCUACCACUGAACCACCGAUGC
rnacentral:tRNA from 1 species